rnacentral:lncRNA from 1 species
CCAGGUCCAACACAAUUACUUCUCAGUCACACGGAAUUACUUUUCCGAACUUGGUAACUCUUUGUUUAUUGGGCUGCAAAAGGUACUUCUGGUCUGAGAUCUCCACUUUUUUUUUUUCUUCACAUCUAAAAUUUAUCCUUGAGAAUAUGCUGAAGCUUCCCAAGCUUGGGGUCUUCCUCCUAAAAUCAACACUUUUUCUUAAAAUCUUUUUUUACACGAAACAAGACCAUUCAAACACAUUCGACCUUAUUCAAUAUUCAUCCUUUGAACGAUCCUAAUGUCGUACUUCUUGUAUCUAGCGUUCAUUCUCAUAAUGCUUGUAAUGCAUUUAUGUAAUUCGAAGCACUCUCUCACGCCUUUACAGGAAAUAGAUUUUGC